GUGCAGGAAAUCCUGUCAGUGAAUGUUCCGCCAUCACAGGCCCCUGAGCUUGUGUAGGGAUGUAUUUAGCAGUGGACUGUGAUUGAAGAGGUGGGAUGGUUUUUCUUAGUUGACGUGUUUAAUUUUGUAUUAUAUCGUUUUUCCCACUUCCCGUAAUGUUUUUUUGUGUCUUAUUCAAUACCCCGUCCAGCUGGUGGUGGUAAUGCAACAUUAACAUUGGAUGCCAACCGCCCUUAAACCCCAUCGAAGAAGAAAAAUUAAUCACUUCUCUUGAACAUGGUUUCGUCUUUUUGGAGAGAUGUCGUAGGGGUUGGUCUAUUUGCCCUGGCUCAUGCUGCUUUCUCAGCGGCACAACAUCGAUCCUACAUGCGUCUGACAGAAAAAGAAAAUGAAACCCUACCGAUAGAUGUAAGUGAUUUAAUACUAAAUAGCAAAUUGUUUUACAGACUUUGUUAGCUUUUGUUCUGACCAUUUAUGGUAUUGUCCACAUCUCUGGAGAGUUUAAAGAUAUGGAUGCAUCCUCAGAGCUGAAAAACAAGACGUUUGACACAUUGAGGAACCACCCGUCUUUCUACAUGUUCAAUCAUCGUGGUAGGGUGCUCUUCUGCUCUCCCGACCGAGAAGUCUCCAACAUCCCAAACGCAGAGGCCCUGCGAAACCCCCUUCGGCUACGCAAGCUGAAGCAUUUGCACUGAGACUUGCCUUCCCCACCCACAUGUCUUUAUUUCUGUGCACAGAUAAGCUUUUUGGUUAGAACCCACAAAGUAAUUUCUUCUACUUUUAAUUUGCCUUAGUACAUAUAUUAAUAUGCUGUACAAAUGUGCAUCUCCUCCCAUAAAAGUGGUUACCAUAUUUAACUCCUGACUGUCAACCAACCCUACAGUUUUUCAUGCAGAUUUGUUUGUAUAUAAUUGUAAUUGCUUAGAAGUAAACGAAUUUGACACAUCUUCCCCUUACUUAGGUAAGGGUAGGGUAGGCUGUAUGUGUCAUCCUUUAAGACUUCCUAAGCAAGUGUUCCCCUUUUUUGGACAAGGGGCAUGAUGUUUUGUUUGCCACAAUACAGCUGUCGGGAACUAUUUAUUUCUUUUUUUAUCUGCAAAUAUGAGAUUUUGUUUUAUCUAAUAAAAAGUCUACACUUCUGUUGAGAUAAUUCAUGACCUGAUCUCCUGGAGUUUAAAAUUAGGCUUUGGUGCUUAUUCUGUAUGCAAUAAAGUUACCACGGUCAUUGAAGUCACAAAGGUCCAGCCUGAAGGAUGCAGCAUGGAAAGCAGAGUAAGUCAGUGUUCGAGCAAUGCUAAUGAUACUGUGAACACAAAGUAGAGACUAAUGGUACAUUUGUUUGGGCAGUGUUUUUUAUUUUAUUUGGCCUUUUUAAGAUUCAACAGAAUGUUUUAAAUUAAAAUCUAUGAUGUUGUCAGUG